UUGGAGGGCAAGUCUGGUGCCAGCAGCCGCGGUAAUUCCAGCUCCAAUAGCGUAUAUUAAAGUUGCUGCAGUUAAAAAGCUCGUAGUUGAAUUUCGGGACCAUCAUGUCGGUCGUGCUUCGGUACGUACUGGCAUUGUUGGUUUCUACCUUCUGACGAACCAUGAUGUCAUUUAUUUGGUGUCGUGGGAAAUCAGGACUGUUACUUUGAAAAAAUUAGAGUGUUUAAAGCAGGCUCACGCUUGAAUACAUUAGCAUGGAAUAAUGAAAUAGGACGUUUGAUUCUAUUUUGUUGGUUUCUAGGAUCGACGUAAUGAUUAAUAGGGAUAGUUGGGGGCAUUAGUAUUCAAUUGUCAGAGGUGAAAUUCUUGGAUUUAUUGAAGACUAACUACUGCGAAAGCAUUUGCCAAGGAUGUUUUCAUUAAUCAAGAACGAAAGUUAGGGGAUCGAAGACGAUCAGAUACCGUCGUAGUCUUAACCAUAAACUAUGCCGACUAGGGAUCGGAUGAUGUUAAUUUUUUAAUGACUCAUUCGGCGCCUUACGGGAAAC
rnacentral:rRNA from 1 species